rnacentral:rRNA from 1 species
GACGAACGCUGGCGGCGUGCUUAACACAUGCAAGUCGAACGAUGAAGCUAGAGCUUGCUCUGGUGAAUUAGUGGCGAACGGGUGAGUAACACGUGAGUAACCUGCCCCGAACUCUGGGAUAACUGCUGGAAACGGUAGCUAAUACUGGAUACGACCUACGAAGGCAUCUUCUGUAGGUGGAAAGAAUUGCGGUUCGGGAUGGACUCGCGGCCUAUCAGCUUGUUGGUGAGGUAAUGGCUCACCAAGGCGACGACGGGUAGCCGGCCUGAGAGGGUAACCGGCCAAACUGGGACUGAGGCACGGCCAGGACUCCGACGGGCGGCAGCAGUGGGGAAGAUUGCGCAAUGGGCGCAAGCCUGAUGCAGCAACGCCGCGUGAGGGAUGGCGGCCUUCGGGUUGUAAACCUCUUUUAGUAGGGAAGAAGCGAAAGUGACGGUACCUGCAGAAAAAGCACCGGCUAACUACGUGCCAGCCGCCGCAGUAA